AGCAGCCGCGGUAAUUCCAGCUCCAAUAGCGUAUAUUAAAGUUGUUGCAGUUAAAAAGCUCGUAGUUGAAUUUCGGGAUCAGUUGGUCGGCCGCGCCUCGGUACGUACUGGUCAAAUUGAUUCCUACCUUCUGACGAACCACGAUGUCAUUAAUUUGGUGUCGCGGGAAAUCAGGACUGUUACUUUGAAAAAAUUAGAGUGUUUAAAGCAGGCUCGCGCUUGAAUACAUUAGCAUGGAAUAAUGAAAUAGGACGUUUGAUUCUAUUUUGUUGGUUUCUAGGAUCGACGUAAUGAUUAAUAGGGAUAGUUGGGGGCAUUAGUAUUCAAUUGUCAGAGGUGAAAUUCUUGGAUUUAUUGAAGACUAACUACUGCGAAAGCAUUUGCCAAGGAUGUUUUCAUUAAUCAAGAACGAAAGUUAGGGGAUCGAAGACGAUCAGAUACCGUCGUAGUCUUAACCAUAAACUAUGCCGACUAGGGAUCGGAUGAUGUUAAUUUUUUAAUGACUCAUUCGGCGCCUUAC
rnacentral:misc_RNA from 1 species